UACGGAGGGUGCGAGCGUUGUCCGGAAUCACUGGGCGUAAAGGGCGCGUAGGUGGCUUCUCAAGCGCGCGGUGAAAGCCCGGGGCUCAACCCCGGGUCGGCCGUGCGGACUGGGAGGCUCGAGCACUGUAGGGGCGGGUGGAAUUCCGGGUGUAGGGGUGGAAUGCGUAGAUAUGCGGAGGAACACCGAUGGCGAAGGCAAUCCCCUGGGCCUGCACUGACGCUCAUGCACGAAAGCGUGGGGAGCAAACAGG
rnacentral:rRNA from 1 species